CGGUCUGUAGCUCAGUUGGUAGAGCAGCUGACUCUUAAUCAGCGGGCCCGGGGUUCGAGCCCCCGCAGACCGA
rnacentral:tRNA from 4 species